GCCUUCGUUCUCAACCUUCAGCCGGACUCCCAUCCAUGCACGAACCUGUAGCGAGCCCGAUCCAAAUCCCGCGAGAUUCGCCCGAUCCCGAAUCGCCCGCUCCAAUCUGCGGGCACCAUGAGACUCAUCUCAAUCCUCUCGUCCGUUUCCCGCAUCCAUCCCUCGUUUUCCCCCUCGGAACCGAGAGGACACACCCCGCCGAUCUCUGCCGCCUGAAGCUCCUCCUCCGACAAACUGCACCGCGACCAGUAAGUCCCGGUCCUCACAGAGCCUUUCAUUGAAUUCACUGAGACCUUACGCACCUCCUUCGCCUCCUUUUAUGCUCAGCAGUCAGCACACUGCUGGUUCGAGCGCCCCACAUCCACCCGAAGAUCACCGCCGACGCCAGAGCUCCAACGCCACUGCAGCACCAGCAGAUGACGCUCCCAUCUCCGUUGAAGCCACCAUCGCCUCAGCCAUCGCAAGCUGCAUCCUCCCAUCACCUCAUAUUUGCCGGAGAGCCACCGGAGGCCUACGCCCGAAGCUGCCGCCGUUUUCCCCCUGCUUCCGGUGAGCACACGCGCACAAAUCCACUUUGCCAACCCUAGGGAGACACGUGGCCACAUCUACAGUAUCCGCGGCAGCAGCUCAAUUCGCCGCUAUGGCAGCAAUUUCAGCAUAUUUCAAACCGAACUUCGUUCUACUAUAUCUUUAAAUCUGUAUAUCCUAACUCAAUGAAACUUUUUCUAUGUGUUCAUAUUGAUCUUACCUAUCCAAUGGAAUCAAUAGUUUCAACUUCUAAACUCUUCAAAAUGAUCAAUUCAUUUUUUUUCAAAUCAUGUGUUGAUCAUAUCUUGAAAAUUGUAUACCAUAUCCAGUUGAUUCCGUUUGCCUAUGAACACCUGUAUAAAAUACUUGCUGAUCACAUCCUAUGUACUCAUUAUUCAAAUAAUUCUUGACCUGCUUUGAAUUCAAAUUCAAUCCACACUUCUUUUUGCUAUAACUUGAGUUGUAGUGCUCCUAUUCAAUUCAUUCUUUUUGCAAAUGAACACCUAUGUCAUAUGCUUCCUGUUCAACAACAUGUUUGUUGUUUUUCAUAUAAUUUUGAGUCUAUUCCAUAUUGUCUCAAAUAUAAUACUAUAUAGAAAUCAUUCUAUAUCAAUUGACUCUUCGAAGUUGACUUCUUCACCUGUCACCUUAUAGCACCAUGCACACCUAUAUUAUAUAUUAAGCCCAACUAUAUUGAUGUUGUUUAACCUUGCCAUAUUUGUUUUGUUGUUGUUUUGGUUGUUCUUCAUGGCAUGGUUAUUGAUUUGAGUUCUUUCGUUAACGAUAGAUUACUCGAAGCGUGACAAGUAGAAUUAUUAGGAAUUGUGAGUGCAAAGAUCUUCAUCAAACGUAUCAG
rnacentral:lncRNA from 1 species